UAUUUGUUGGUAAUUGGUAUUUUCACACUUUGCUUCCACAUAGGUUUAAAAAGCCAGCCCAACUUUUAUGAGAUGACAUUUGAUUGGUUCAAUGCUCCAUUAUUAUAUUUAUGUUUUGGACAUAAGUUUAAAGGGUCUAUUAGCUUUUAGAAUUUACGAGUAAUGAUGCUGAAGUCUGUUAGUUUCUGUUGUUUGCAUGUGAUGGUCUUUUAGCAAUGGGACUUUUGAGAGCGUACGCAUGUAAAGGAACUUAUGCACUGUAUUGCCCAAGUAUGUGAUGUUAGAAACUGUUUGUCGUGUCUUGGGCACUAAUGUUUGAAGCUAAGUGGCACAAUUCAGAAGAUAUAUCAUUCAGUUGAUAUUUCCUAUUGAAAGAUCGUCCAGAGUAAAUUUCUUUUAGUUUCAUUGAUAUGCUUGCAAUAAUAUCAUAAGUUUUUGUCUGAUGAAUUUUCCAAUUCUGUUUUCAUCUUUAUUUUUGGUAGUCUUGCUUUUAGUAGUCAAUUUAUCUUGUUAGGUCCACUGAUUAAUUCUGGAGUUCUGCU
rnacentral:lncRNA from 1 species